GGGCAGCGGCCCGCCGGACACCGGCACUCACGUCUCGGCGGCAUUGGACAGCUCUCGUUUUCACAGCUCCCAGAAGUCAGUGCCCUUCAGAUAGUAGCUCUGAGAAGAGAUCAGAUGAGAAGGCUUCUCCCUCAAGACCUUGCUUGCAGAGGUGUACUGCAGUCUUCAGUGGCCUUGACGGAAAAGGACUGAGGCCUAUUUAAAAAGGUUUUUUUAGGACUAGAGGGUGAAACUACUGGGGAGCUGGUGAAAACUGAGCCAUCAGAACUCUCCAGGGAGCAACUGGAGGAUGUUUUUGGUAGAGAGUCAGCUGACAAUUGUGAAGCUGCUGAGGUUUUGCAUGGUGAGAAAAAACAAGUACUAGUCCUGCUGCCAAGAGGGUUCAUUUUUUCUGGUGUGCAACAUCUGGUACAGUACUCACUUGCAGUGCCACACCUCAAAGGCGAUGCUUGAGUGAGAAAGAAACACAUUUACUUCCCAUUGCUACCAGGGAACACAAUGAAACCUGGCUCUAGGGACCAGGAACGGGAAUACAAGACCUCUGGCACUCAGCACUGUCACCUCUGCCACUGAGCAUAUAGAAAAGAAGUAACUUGCAAAUGAGUGGCUCUCCAGAGCUUAAGCCCUCUCCUGGAUGGGAACUGUGGCUUGCUCUCCAGGAGGGGGAGCAGGCAGUUUCGGGUGGUUUUGCACAAGUGCCAGCUUGCAAGCAUUAUAUAAGAAGGCAGUUCCUCAGUUUGUUUUUGAAACUCACCGUUUGAGAGGCAAAGUCUGUCUUCAGUAUCUGCUGGGACUGACAGGGGACAUUUCUUGGCAUCAGCCUGCAAAAAGCAUGUUAGGGUUACAGAGCUGCCACAGUAGUGAGAGCCACCAGCAACUUGCUGCAGCUCCUCAGAAAUCUGGGGAGGCUCUGGGGAAUAACCAGACAAGCCCAACACCUGCUAAAGAGGUGCCUCAGCCCAGGACUGACACUGCCUCACUGCCUGGUAAAGGGGUCUGUGUUAAACUCUGCAGCCAGACACCCCAGUCGUGCCAGCAGGUCACAACCCUCCGCUCUUUCAAGCUGCGCUUUUGAUCCAGAGAAGCCAUAGCAGAACACAGCCUCCUUUUUUGUGUCCUCUCCAGCACUGGAAAUUUCCUUCCAAACUCCUCUGGGGAGCCUCGAUGGCUUUGAAACCUUCAAGAUCCCUGAGCAAAGCUCCUGGUGAGCCAGGGGAAUGCACAGACUGCCCACAGCAAUGCCCUGCUCCCUCUGCUCAGAGCACAGAGCUGCGUUUGAAGAGCUCUGCCCGCUCCUGGAUGAGGGUGGUCAGCCAGCAGCUACUGGAGGAGUCACCCCUACUUUGCUAAGGUAUCUCACACCAGUACCCAAGAAGGAUCCAGGAAAAUGUAAGGGCUGCUUACCUCUGUCUGGCACUCAAUCAGACUCUCCAUAUUCCCAGCAUUUAGCGUCUUUGACUAGGCAAGAAAACAAAGACACUGCGUGAGUAAUUGGAUCCUAUGGUUUAGGAAUCAGAGCUUUUCAAAGUCACUAUGCUGACAGAGCUGAAAUAAUUAAGAUACUCACAGUAUUACAGCUGCUUAACACUUUCAUUAGGAGUUUGAUUGGAGGAGCUCUGGACAGUCUGGUUUCCUUCAGUCCUUUUGUUUGCCUGUUUGUUGAACAGGGAAUGGACAAAGAGUCUUGUAAAACUGCCCCCUUCUUGGCUUUGUCCUCUGCAAGCCAAUCUAGCGUGUAUGAUCCUGAACCAGCAAGAUCUCCCACACAAUUAUAAAGCCCUUCUCUGGAAGGGCAUUCAGCCCUGCUGCCCUAUCUGCCUCCUAAUUCAAACAAAAUAAAAGCAGCUUUCCAUUUUUAAUCCAUGCAAAAAGUGAGCAAGUGGUGACAGCUAUGUAUGGUUAUUAAUCUGCACACCCGAGGCUCAGCAACUCUGUCAGCUCUGCCCAUGAGCUGUGCUUAGUGGGUGCACCUCUUCCCCAUGUACUUUUUUGUACAUCUCUGUGCAGCUGCAUCUGAAGCUCUCCACUGAUUUCAACCAUGAUGCCACAGAUUUUUUCAAAGGCAGUACUUACCCAAGAAGCGAAUCCAGCCAGAGCUCCUUCACCUCCCGUGAACUGCAGAGUAAAGGAGAAACAGCAUCACUCCCCACUGCUACUAAUCCUUUGGACAGAGGCAGACGACUAAACAGUGCAUACCACGUGUGCUGCCUUAUAUAUGCAGAAGGGGCAGGUGGAAAUUCACAGGCAGGAAGAAGCAUCAUGGGGCAGGACCAAGACACUACCAAAUUUCUGGCUUCCUCUUUCCUUUUAGAGGAGAUACUUUUUUGGGUUUUCCCCCCCGUUAAAGAAAAAAAAGAAACUCUGGUAGCUGUUAUGGAUGGAAAAGAUGAGACACUUGCCAGGUAAAGGUUCCAGCUAUCAUCACCAGCAUGAGGUGAGAUGUGCAGAGGGGGCUGCAGUGUAGGCAGCUUCUCUUUACCAUUAAAGGGCAGUGGGUACAGUCUGUCCUUUGCUCAGAGAUAUUAGAUUUGGCAGUUUAAGAACGCACUGCCAGAUCAAGCUACACUAAGAACAGUGAAAACAACGGGGCGGUGGAAUAGACAAGAUUCAGAGAAAUGUUUCUUUAUAAUUUUUUAAAAGCUAAUUGCAACAGUUUACUGUCUACAAGCAGAUGUAGGCACACAUUUUGUCAGUACUAAGUAGUUCUUGAGAAUCUAGGUACUGGACAUCUAUAGACAAAGUGGUGUAAUGUAGUAAUUUAGUAAUGUAUGAGAGUACAUAAUUUAAAAGUCUUGUUUAAAAUAAAUCUUAAUAAGACAUAUUUGUGUGCACAUAUUAAAAUUUGAUUCAAACAAAGAGAUUAAAAAAAUCUAGGGAAAAUCUACCUCUGCUUGACCUCUAUCAUUCUGUUGGUGACUGCCCCCCAACGUGGGCAUAUCAUGAAUACAGCACUCACUCUACCAGGCCAUUAUGAAAAUUCAUUAAGAUUUGAUGUUAAAUAUAUGAUAUUAUUUCUAUUGAUUUAUUGACUGAGGCAAAUUACAACCCUGUUCUGCCUGCCAGACUGCUGAUCUUGUGAAAAGGAGGAGUUAAGGCUGAAAGUCAGGAUUGGGAAUUCUUCAGCAGUGGAUUUAGGUGGAAAGCAUACUUGUGAAAAUGUGGCCUUUCUGCUGCUUCUCUUGUAGAUGCUGUGUUUCACAUGUGCAGAGGAUGGGGCUGUCUUAGCGCUUGCAGAUGCAAGUAAUGGUUACAUCUGCUGCUGAAUUCACCUUCAAAGCUGUUCUUUGUGUAACCACAUCAGACCCGGCCAGUGUAGCACUGGCCCUGUUUCAUGCAGAACAGAAAAGGGACAGGAAGGUGAUCUCUGUUUGACUCUGGCAGAAAUCCAAAGCACAAAAUUCACUUUUGGUUCGAUAGAGAUGUAUCCAGAAGAGCAAAUGGAGACUUGCUCUGUUUUUUUGGGAGGAGUUGCUGAAGGUCACCUUUUAAGUCCUCCUGAGGCCCAUCAUUUCCAUGCUACUGUAGUGGCACUGGUCUAGUGACUUGUUUAGGGCUGAAACUUACAGCAAUUUCAGUCAAUUAGUCUUCAGACCUGUGCAUUUACCACUGCUCUAGCUGAUUUUUUUGUUAGUUAUCAGUCCCAUGACAUUUUUAAUUUCCCAACUAAAUUCCAUGAGCUGCUGUACAUGCUUGCAGAAGUAUUGUCAUUCUACAUCACUUUUUCCUGAGAAUUUCUUUUGGGACUCCUUGGCAGCUGCAGCACCACUGCUGAUAGUUUCAGUGAGAU